rnacentral:lncRNA from 1 species
AUACUUUUACCUGUUAAUAAUCACUUAAAGAACACAUCUAAAUAUUUUUAAAAAUCAGCCUAGUACCGUCCACCCCCCAACCCCCCGCCGAGGUCUAAGUGCCUGAGAGCAGAAGGGUGGGGUACCCAGGAGGACAGACUGGGACAGAGGCCUUAGGGCAACAGGUGACCCCUGCAAUCUAUUGAUUCCCAGCAAUCCAUAAUUCUAGACCUACCUGACUCUAGUGACUCGCCCCAGACGCGCAGAAAGGUGCUAUUUAUGAAGAAACGACUUUCCUUCCAAGAUUAUCUCCUCUGAUCGGUCCAGAUUUAGGAUUGGGAAGGAAGAAGGCAAAACGGAGAACGAGGAUUCAGAAAGGAGGUGCAGGUACUUAGGAGUGAAGAUUCGACCCGGAGCCAUCUACUGUGUCAAAAAAAUAUGAUUAAAUGUGUUGCACCCAGUGAGAAAGAACCAACCAGAGACCGAUAUUAAAUCCACACAGGAGUUUAUUACCGGCCAGGACCCGAGCCGAGCAUCAGACUCGAGCCCCGACUGGGGGGAGACAAACAUGUUUUGUUCACCUUUGAGGCCAGCAGUUUCUAGGCCCCCUAUGGGAUAGUACUAGCAAAGCAAGCAAAAGGUACAGAAGUGGAACGUCCUGCUGUUAGAACAUUUGUAAAACAAUAGCUGACUAAUUGUUGUUUCUAAAGAGACUUUCUAAGGGGAGGAGGUUUCUAAACUUCCCCUUUUUGAGUUCAUCUAAAGGCCAGGCAGGUGGGUCCUUCAGCAGCAAUAUGGAGCCUGUCUUGCUAACUAGGGUCCUUCAAAAUGGACACCAACUCUGAAUCUUUCUUAGAGGAAAAAACGGAUUAAAAACGCCCCAAUCUAAGGCCUCUGCCGAUGUAUCUGAAAGAGAGUAAAGAAGACAAAAUUCACACAGUCCAUUUUCAGGGGCGCAAUGGGUGUGACUGGGGUCCGGACACCGUCACGGGUCCCUCCCGCGCUCCCAGGAAGGUGGCAACGAGGGCAGCCGAAAGUACCCGGCUGUGCUCCCUCCGCAGGGCAGGGCUGCCAACCUGGGACUUUCACUUGCUCAGGCCCGAGAUUCCGGACUCCCCGCCCUCGCGGUGGGGUGGCGGUCAGGCCCAGGAAUAAGGAGGAAUGAGGAUUGGUUUCCCCAUUUCUCCAGGACCUUCAUGAAGCUUUUGUCUUGGCUCUACAACAUCCCCAGCAGGAAGUACUCUCCUUUUCGCAUCACAUUUGUUGCAUUCCUCCAAGUAAAGCAGCAGGAAUGUAUCCAAGAAUACCCCAGUCAAGAAAGUAGCUAAGACCACCUUGCAAUAGCAUAUUUUCUCAUGGCACCUGGCUCCUCACAGGCUCAGCAGUGUUGGCUGUGAAGGCUCCUUUGACUGGCACGUGGACUGGUACCAGGGCUCCCCGCACCUCCUGUGUAGAUGCUUGUUGACACCUGUGGCUUUCAAGGCCAUCUCUGAAGAUUCUUUUGGGCCCAGCAAGAUCAGGGACUUGCUUUGAUUACUUGUAGCUGUCUGUGCUCCUUAUGGAGAGCAAACAAAAAUCAAACUCACAAUAUACAAUGAGUUUUACAUGACUGAUGAACACUCAGGCGUUUUUACAGUAUUGAAUUACAUACUAGACAUAAAAACAUACUUUUGUAAACUGUAUGGUACAAUUAAAUAAUGCAUACCUUUUGUGUGUGUGUUUUAAUUCACAUAAAUUCUUGUUAUACACUUAUGAAAGAAAAUUAUUUUAUAUUUGUAGAAAAUUAUUUUUGUCAUGUUAUCUUCUUUUUUAUUGCAGCUCAUUCGACUUAGGCUGCCAUGAGUUAUAAAAGCUCAAUUUAAUAAUACAACAGUAUAGACAGGCUUAUUUCAGUUCUGAAAUUUACUCUUAAUGAAAGAAAUAAUGUUAACAUGUGAAUUCUAAAGAAUCAAAAGAUAUUAAUUCUAGGUAUAUGUCAAUAUUAGUUUCUAUACUUGUUGAACAUAUACUUGUAGAACAUAUACUUAUUCAUCUCUGCUGAUUAACAUCUACAACUAAUUUAAUAUUUUCUCAAAAAUGUGUAAUAUGUAAUGGCUUGCAACUGGAC